CGCCCCGGGCGUGUCUGCCCUCGGUUCCGCCCCGCAGCCGGGCGGCGGGCCUGCAAGGCCCCGCUCCGUCGCGGAUAAGGUUUCUUUGAGGUUUCUGUGAGGAGCGGGCCCCUGUGCUGACGCAGGCGGAGCGGUGGAGCUGGAGACUCGAGAGCAGAGGGUGUGGCUCCCGCGCGAGGCUGUCAGGCUGCUGCCCAAGCAGAACCGUCGUGGGAGUUGGCGUGUGAAAAUGAAACACUUGGAGAAGAAGAAAGGCAACCUGAAUGGCAGAUGCUUUGAGUUAUUUUAAAGACCCAUCUGGAAUGAAAGGUCCUGGAAAGACAUCCUCUGUGGGUCGGCGUCAUGCUUGUGUCUUUGCCACUGUCUUCACUCAUCCACAUGGUAGAGAUCAAAGCUUCCAGAAGCUUCAAACAUGGCUAUCCAGAAAUAAGGAGCCUUUGGAAUGUGAAUGACACCACAUCAUGUAUUCCACCAAGAAGGCAAGUAAGACCGGUUCUCGAGCGACAAGGCAUCGCUGAGCAAAGAAAUCGACAGUCAGGAGCCUGGCCUGCACACAGAAGAAAUGAAUAAUUUCUCUAUCGGUUGGAAAUUGAGAAGCUUGGAGGAACUUGGAUUUAUUGGUGUGAAGAAAUGGUAAUUAUUUUGUGAAUUAAAAGAACACCCUAAACGUAGCUUCAGCAGACCGCUAGCGAAUCCUGCGACAUAAAUAAAGCAUGAUAUUCAUCUGGAAUGGAAGCGUUGGAAGCAUUUUAGUAGCUGUGCUUUUGAAUAGUUACAGCUGCUUCUCCUACAAACAGUGCAGGUGCCCAUGAGAUUAUCAACAUCAUUCCCAACUUUUUAUCAAUGAACUGAGGGCAUGGGAAGCUGGACUCUUGAAUGAGCUGAGUGCAGCUUUAUUUUCCCAUUUAGUUAUUAUACAGGUUCUUCGGACGCCUGGGUGGCUCAGUCAGUUAAGUGUCUGACUCUUGAUUUCAGCUCAGGUCAUGAUCCCAGGGUUGUGGGAUCAAGCCCCACAUCGGGCUCUGCACUGACAGCAUGGAGCCUGCUUGGGAUUCUCUCUCUCCCUGUCUCCCUGCCCCUCCCCUGCUCAUGCUGUCUGUUUCUCUCUCUCUCUCUCUCUCU